CAGUCGCCGCGGUAACACGUAGGUGGCAAGCGUUGUCCGGAAUUAUUGGGCGUAAAGCGCGCGCAGGUGGUUUAAUAAGUCUGAUGUGAAAGCCCACGGCUCAACCGUGGAGGGUCAUUGGAAACUGUUAAACUUGAGUGCAGGAGAGAAAAGUGGAAUUCCUAGUGUAGCGGUGAAAUGCGUAGAGAUUAGGAGGAACACCAGCGGCGAAGGCGGCUUUUUGGCCUGUAACUGACACUGAGGCGCGAAAGCGUGGGGAGCAAACAGGAUUAGAUACCCCGGUAGUCCCUGUCUCUUAUAC
rnacentral:rRNA from 1 species